CAGUCGCCGCGGGAAUACGAGGGGGGCAAGCGUUGUUCGGAAUUACUGGGCGUAAAGCGUGCGUAGGCGGUUUGUUAAGUCUGCUGUGAAAUCCCCGGGCUCAACCUGGGAAUGGCAGUGGAUACUGGCAAGCUAGAGUGUGUCAGAGGAUGGUGGAAUUCCCGGUGUAGCGGUGAAGUGCGUAGAGAUCGGGAGGAACAUCAGUGGCGAAGGCGGCCAUCUGGGACAACACUGACGCUGAAGCACGAAAGCGUGGGGAGCAAACAGGAUUAGAUACCCCAGUAGUCCCUGUCUCUUAUAC
rnacentral:rRNA from 1 species